rnacentral:rRNA from 1 species
CUACGGGGUGCAGCAGUUAGGAAUAUUCUACAAUGCGCGCAAGCGUGAUAGAUUGAGCCAGAGUGUUUUUCAAAUGAAAAGCUUUUGUGAAAUGUAAAAAGUUUCACGAAUAAGGACUGGGUAAGACUAGUGCCAGCCGCCGCGGUAAUACUAGCGGUCCAAGUCGCAGCCAUUUUUAUUGGGUCUAAAACAUCCGUAGCUUGCUUAAUAAGUUCCUUGUGAAAUUUUAUCUUUCAAAGAUAGAGCGUGCAAGAAAUACUGUUAAGCUAGAGACUGGAAGACGUAACGAGUACGUUCGGAGUAGCGGUAAAAUGUGUUAAUCCCGGACGGACUAACAACAGCGAAGGCACGUUACGAGGACAGUUCUGACAGUAAGGGAUGAAGGCUAGGGGCGCAAAACGGAUUAGAUACCCCAGUAGUC